CAUCCUCCGUCUGCCCAGUUACCGCUUCCGCUACCGCCGCCGCUCCCGCU
ensembl:miRNA